rnacentral:rRNA from 1 species
ACUCGGCUACUUGCCUUGUCUGGUUUCGCUUUUGGGGUUUUCCCCUUUUUACUUUGAGAAAAUUAGAGUGUUUCAAGCAGACUUGUGUCUUGAAUACUUCAGCAUGGAAUAAUAAAGUAGGACUUUGGUUCUAUUUUGUUGGUUUGUGAACCUUAGUAAUGGUUAAUAGGAACGGUUGGGGGCAU